GAAAUCAACUAUAGGAAGAAAAUCAGAAAAGCCACAAAUACGGCCGGCCCUGUGGCUUGGUGGUUAAGUGCGCGCGCUGCGAUGCUGGUGGCCCGGGUUCAGAUCCCGGGUGCGCAUCGAGGCACCACUUCUCCGUUCAUCCUGAGGCCGAGUCCCACAUACAGCAACUAGAAGGAUGUGCAGCUACGACAUACAACUAUCCACUGGGGCUUUGGGGGGAAAAAUAAAAUAAAUAAAAA